AGCUAAAAGACCUGUUCUUAUGUAAGACGCGUCUUAUCCAAGACGCGUCUUACAUAAGAAUUUUGUACCUUUUAUACGACAAACUCGCGUCUUACUUAAGUCGCGUCUUAUGUAAGUCGCGUCUUAUUUUGUUCCGUAUAAAUGGCCCUAAUGUCUCCCUCCUCCGCAGAGCUAGAGCCCAGAGGCUCUAAAGGAUUAAUUUCGCGUGUGGUGUGAAGACGAAAACGCACUGACGUAUGUGAACCAGGCUCAACCAUGCACAGCAAUUAUUUGGACCAUAAACCCUCAAUCAUGCAUCUAUCACAUUCUUAGUCUCAGAGUUGCAUAUGCUAUGUUAUCCGAUUAUGUUUGAAAAUCUUGAAUAUAAUUCUUGAAUUAUGUUAUAUUGAAAAUUGUGGCAGCACAUGAUCUGGAAAAACAUUUAAAAAGAUUUAAAACGAUUAAUUUUAAAUCGUCACUCAACAAAUAUAAUGCUACAUGCAAUAUUUUUGUAAGUGCUAAACUGUCGUGAAAACAAACUUAAUUAAACCGCAGUGAAAACAUAAAGUUUAAAAAAACAGAAUACAGAAUAGAAGUUUCGCCAUCAACAGAAGAUGACCAAGGUAUGUAGCAUUACAGCUGAUGAGAAAUUCUGUGGUGAAACCUUUAUCGGAAACGCUCAAAGGACGCAAUAUUAUAUAUCUCAACUGAAUUCUACUGUAACCUCUUUACUUUAACUAGGUAUAAUAAUAAUAGUCUUAAGUUUUAACAGACAUUAAUUAAGACUGUACUGUGCAUAUCGAUUUUACACUUGCGUUUUUGUUUAUUUGACGGAUGUGAACGAGUGGAUGAAUUAUGAAUGUUGAGAUGAGGGCCAUGUAUACUUAGAACAUUUAUAACUCAUUUACUCCUUCACGUGCAAAAAUCAUAACAAAAUUAAGACCUAAUUAUUAUGUUUUGAGAAAACUCAUGACCAAUUACACAAAAGGCAAAGUUACU